UGUAAUUAUGAAUUUUUAAUUAGGGGCAUAUUCGUAAUUCUAGCAUUUCUAUAGAGACAUAUGUACUCACUAAAGUAAUACCGGUGUACUCCAUCUGUCUUCAUACAUAUAGAAGACUUAUUCUCUCUCUUUCGUUCCAUUGUCUGCUCUCAAUGAAGCUCUUCUUUUUGACUAACAAGCUUGGAUAAAUAAGCGUUGCUAAUAGGGCGUGGAGCAGGUACACCCAGAUGAGUAGAAGCCGUUAUAGAAAAUGUUCCAGCGGUGUUGGCAAGCUCCAUUUGCUCCUGGAGUGCUGCCGAGUCAGAGUAUAUGUGCUAUGAUUUCUGAUUGAUGUUAGAGACUUUGCAGACAUAGUCGUGGGUAUAGGUUGUCGGUUUUGUAAGCGGCUCCAUCAACCGAUGUGUCUUUAUGUAUUAUGUUAUAAAUUCCAUCUGAUUACAGAUUUUGUUUGAUUUGAGAACAACGAAAAAGAAUAUUUCUAAAAGCUCUCAUUAUGUAUUUCAUUUAAUUUAAGUUAGAAGUCUAAGCGAGUAUGUGUGUAAUAAGAGUCAGCGGGUUUGCUCGGCUCCGAAUAUGGGGUCGGGUGCCCAUCACACCCCUGGUAAGAUUAGGGUGUGACAAUGCUUGACUCAUACGUGGUUCGGAUUAAUUCGUUUAAUACGUUUCAGAAUGUUCUUAUC